CGGGUGAGUAAUGUCUGGGAAACUGCCUGAUGGAGGGGGAUAACUGCUGGAAACGGUAGCUAAUACCGCAUAACGUCGCAAGACCAAAGAGGGGGACCUCCGGGCCUCUUGCCAUCGGAUGUGCCCAGAUGGGAUUAGCUAGUAGGUGGGGUAACGGCUCACCUAGGCGACGAUCCCUAGCUGGUCUGAGAGGAUGGCCAGCCACACUGGAACUGAGACACGGUCCAG
rnacentral:rRNA from 1 species